AAAUUGGGUGAAACCAAUGAAAACCUAAAUUCCUCUCUCUUCCUUUCUCUCCUCACUCUCUCUGAAUUGGCGAUGGAGUAGAAGUUCCAUCCCGACCCGGUGCGUUCAACUGAAAUCGAUGAGAACCCAUUUUGAAGGAGACCUCACCGCGAAGCCACCACCACCACCCCCCAACGGCGAUGCAGAAGUUACCCACAAUUUUUCAUUGAUUUACCCCCAACGUAUUCGCGCGAUUGACGAGGCGAAGAUGAAAGUCUGAAUCACCCUCACCGCGAAAACCACCAUCACAAUACUUUCUCCUCCAGCAGCCACUUUCAAACUACCACUGGAUAAACCCCUCUGUGUUGAAAUCUUGAAACCAACUGUGAACUGCCAUUUGCGAGGAUGGAUUGGUCUAUGCAUCUCUAGUUACUCACCAAACCUUUUGAACUCAAAAUACAAACAAAUUGUUAUCUAAUCGAAAAAUUAACUUUUCAAUAACCUUCUAAAUAAUAUGUUCGAUUGUCCUGCUAUUCAGUAAUAAAUGUAUGUGUAAAUUUUUAUGUGAAUGCCUGCUGCCCUGCACUUCUGGAGAUGUGAAUUUGUAGUGGUCGAGCAACUUGCGUGAUUUUGCAUUGGUGUCUGUAAAUUGUUUGUGCCUAAUCGCAAGUUGAGAGGGGCGAAUUUCGGAGUUUGUCACAGUUGUAGAAGCACAAUGCAUUACUUUAGAGAUUGCCCCAGAAAAUUUCGAUGCCCAUGGUGUUCACAUGAAAUUCAAAAAUGUUUUGAGGUCAGAAGGAACACCAGUAACAAUGAGCGAUUAUUCAAAAGUUGUAGUGAUGACUGUGGCUACUUUGAGUGGGUCGAUAAUGAAGAAUCGAGUGGUGAAGUGAAUGUUGUGGCCAAUGAGGAAUUCGACGAACUGCCAAGCAUGUUUGACUCUCUUGCGCGAAUUGCCAACAAACGAGGUGUCAAGAUUUUAGUGAACAUGACAUUUCGUAAAGACAAAGGACGUAGGAAGGAGUAUGGGAAAGAAAAGAGCCCAACAAGGCAUGUGUAGUAGCUGCAGGUUGUUUGAAGUUGUUGAAACUCCAGUGUCCAGUGUUGCUUUGUGUAGUAAUUAGUUAGUUUUUUUUAGGUUGUUGUAUUGUUGAACUUGUGGUUAUCUAUGUUAUGUUUUUUGAAGUCAUGUAAUCAGUUCCAAGUGUUAAUGUGUGGUAACUGUCUUUUUUUAGCUUGUAGUGACGUGUAGUGUAGUUAUGUAAUUAGUUUAUGUUGUAAUCAGUUCCAAGUAAUUACAUGACUGGUGAUUGUUGAGCAUUUUCUGAAGUUAUUUACUCAAGCAUAUGGCUGUUUCACA